rnacentral:rRNA from 1 species
AGCCCGMGUUGGAUUAGCUAGKUGGUGAGGUAARGGCUCACCAAGGWGAYGAUCCAUAGMUGGUCUGAGAGGAUGAUCAGCCACACUGGGASUGAGACACGGCCCAGACUCYUACGGGAGGCAGCAGUGGGGAAUAUGGACAAUGGGCGCAAGCCUGAUCCAGCCAUGCCGCGUGUGUGACGAAGGCCUUAGGGUUGUAAAGCACUUUCACCGAUGAAGAUAAUGACGGU